GAUGAACGCUGGCGGCGUGCCUAAUACAUGCAAGUCGAGCGAACGGACGAGAAGCUUGCUUUUCUGAUGUUAGCGGCGGACGGGUGAGUAACACGUGGAUAACCUACCUAUAAGACUGGGAUAACUUCGGGAAACCGGAGCUAAUACCGGAUAAUAUUUUGAACCGCAUGGUUCAAAAGUGAAAGACGGUCUUGCUGUCACUUAUAGAUGGAUCCGCGCUGCAUUAGCUAGUUGGUAAGGUAACGGCUUACCAAGGCAACGAUGCAUAGCCGGCCUGAGAGGGUGAUCGGCCACACUGGAACUGAGACACGGUCCAGACUCCUACGGGAGGCAGCAGUAGGGAACCUUCCGCAAUGGGCAAAAGCCUGACGGAGCAACGCCGCGUGAGUGAUGAAGGUCUUCGGAUCGUAAAACUCUGUUAUUAGGGAAGAACAUAUGUGUAAGUAACUGUGCACAUCUUGACGGUACCUAAUCAGAAAGCCACGGCUAACUACGU
rnacentral:rRNA from 1 species